rnacentral:lncRNA from 1 species
GGCCGUCUCUUUUUCUUCUCCCGGUGCGCACCGCAUCCCCUCCCGCAUCUCGCUUGCAUCGCCACCGCUUGACUCCCCUCCUCCCUCCACCGACGGCCGACGCCGGAUCUCCUUCCUCCGCCGCCAGCGCCGGCUCUGCUUCUCAUCUCCUCCCUCCGGCGCCGGCAGCUGUGGUUGCUGGCUCGCGCGGCGACCGGCAGCUGUGGAUGGCAGGAAUCCAUCCGAGAGAUCAGCGUGUCGUCUUCAACGCGAGGCAGUUGGACGACAACCAAAGCUUGGCCGAUUGCAACAUUACCUAUAAUUCCAUGAUACACUUCGUAUUCGGCAUUCCCUGCUUUUACGCUACCCCGGCAUACGAACAGUUCAACCGCCUUCCCCGGUCAGAGAGCUCGGAUUCGAGUUCGACGAGCAAAGGAGACAGGUCGGAUUCGAGUUCGACGAGCAAAAGAGACAUCGCCCCGGCAAAUGUCAAAACAGUGCACUGCCCAGAUUGCCAGGUCCAAGCUAACGUGUACUACUGCAACACCGAGGAGGAUAACGUAGGCUGUGUGUUCUACAGGUGCCCUUAUUUCUCGGUGAGUGACUUUCCUAUUGUUUUGCUCAUGCUUAUGUUUAUAAUUAAACCAAAUUUAAAAUUAAAUUAGAGUUGAUUAU